rnacentral:rRNA from 1 species
AGACAUUGUGUCUUCGAGUCGUUGAUUUCACACUGCCGAGAAAAGCCUCUAGAUAGAAAAUAGGUGCCCGUACCGCAAACCGACACAGGUAGUCAAGAUGAGAAUUCUAAGGUGAGCGAGCGAACUCUCGUUAAGGAACUCGGCAAAAUGACCCCGUAACUUCGGGAGAAGGGGUGCUCUUUAGGGUUAACGCCCAGAAGAGCCGCAGUGAAUAGGCCCAAGCGACUGUUUAUCAAAAACACAGGUCUCUGCUAAACCGUAAGGUGAUGUAUAGGGGCUGACGCCUGCCCGGUGCUGGAAGGUUAAGAGGAGUGGUUAGCUUCUGCGAAGCUACGAAUCGAAGCCCCAGUAAACGGCGGCCGUAACUAUAACGGUCCUAAGGUAGCGAAAUUCCUUGUCGGGUAAGUUCCGACCCGCACGAAAGGCGUAACGAUUUGGGCACUGUCUCAACGAGAGACUCGGUGAAAUCAUAGUACCUGUGAAGAUGCAGGUUACCCGCGACAGGACGGAAAGACCCCGUGGAGCUUUACUGUAGCCUGAUAUUGAAAUUCGGCACAGCUUGUACAGGAUAGGUAGGAGCCUUUGAAACGUGAGCGCUAGCUUACGUGGAGGCGCUGGUGGGAUACUACCCUAGCUGUGUUGGCUUUCUAACCCGCACCACUUAUCGUGGUGGGAGACAGUGUCAGGCGGGCAGUUUGACUGGGGCGGUCGCCUCCUAAAAGGUAACGGAGGCGCUCAAAGGUUCCCUCAGAAUGGUUGGAAAUCAUUCAUAGAGUGUAAAGGCAUAAGGGAGCUUGACUGCGAGACCUACAAGUCGAGCAGGGUCGAAAGACGGACUUAGUGAUCCGGUGGUUCCGCAUGGAAGGGCCAUCGCUCAACGGAUAAAAGCUACCCCGGGGAUAACAGGCUUAUCUCCCCCAAGAGUUCACAUCGACGGGGAGGUUUGGCACCUCGAUGUCGGCUCAUCGCAUCCUGGGGCUGUAGUCGGUCCCAAGGGUUGGGCUGUUCGCCCAUUAAAGCGGUACGCGAGCUGGGUUCAGAACGUCGUGAGACAGUUCGGUCCCUAUCCGUCGUGGGCGUAGGAAAUUUGAGAGGAGCUGUCCUUAGUACGAGAGGACCGGGAUGGACAUACCUCUGGUGUACCAGUUGUCGUGCCAACGGCAUAGCUGGGUAGCUAUGUGUGGACGGGAUAAGUGCUGAAAGCAUCUAAGCAUGAAGCCCCCCUCAAGAUGAGAUUUCCCAACUUCGGUUAUAAGAUCCCUCAAAGAUGAUGAGGUUAAUAGGUUCGAGGUGGAAGCAUGGUGACAUGUGGAGCUGACGAAUACUAAUCGAUCGAAGACUUAAUCAA